AUUGAACGCUGGCGGCAGGCCUAACACAUGCAAGUCGAGCGGAUGAGAGAAGCUUGCUUUUCGAUUCAGCGGCGGACGGGUGAGUAAUGCCUAGGAAUCUGCCUGUUAGUGGGGGAUAACUCGGGGAAACUCGGGCUAAUACCGCAUACGUCCUACGGGAGAAAGUGGGGGAUCUUCGGACCUCACGCUAACAGAUGAGCCUAGGUCGGAUUAGCUAGUAGGUGAGGUAAUGGCUCACCUAGGCGACGAUCCGUAACUGGUCUGAGAGGAUGAUCAGUCACACUGGAACUGAGACACGGUCCAGACUCCUACGAGAGGCAGCAGUGGGGAAUAUUGGACAAUGGGCGAAAGCCUGAUCCAGCCAUGCCGCGUGUGUGAAGAAGGUCUUCGGAUUGUAAAGCACUUUAAGUUGGGAGGAAGGGUAUUCAUCUAAUACGUGGGUACUUUGACGUUACCAACAGAAUAAGCACCGGCUAACUCUGUGCCAGCCGCCGCAGUAAAAC
rnacentral:rRNA from 1 species